rnacentral:lncRNA from 1 species
GAACAGUAUUUAACGUAAAUAACUGUCAGCUUUGAUCUGGUGAUUUUCUAAACUGCUGAAUAACCAGUCUGUGAUCGUCUGUCUGUUAUACAGAAUAAAUGAUGAUUUUUGACAUCCACGUAUAUUAGCUGAAGAGCUGAACACUAAGUGUUAAGAACUCUAACAUCAAGUGUUCAAAAAUGAAACACAAAGGCAUUAAAAACUGAACACCACAUAUUCAAUUGAUGAACACUAAGUGUUAAAUAACUCUAACAUCAAGUGUUCAAAAGUGAAACACAAAGGCAUUAAAAACUGAACACCACACAUUCAAUUGAUGAACACUAGUGUAAACAUAAGGAACACCAUUUUUGACUUAGAAAAUUCACUUUUUUUUUAUUUUGCAGGAAUCGUUAGAUUGGAAUGUUUGAAUUAGAAACCGGUAGCAAAUAAGCCCACGAAGGUCAUUUCUGCAUGCUAUAAUGUGUUGGAAAAAAGAAAGAUGUCAAAAAGGUAUGACAAUAUAUGUAUAUUAAUAGCUUAUGUAGGUGUAUCUUUUCUAUAUCUGUAUACCUUAGGUCAAGAAAUCGACUUAUGUAAUUUAUAAUGUCAAAACUUGCAUUUCACUGCCAUAGAAUAUCAAUUUGUACUCUAGUAUAUAUCGAAAAUCCAAUUAAAGCCUAACAACUAUUGCAUAAUUUGAUGCUUUAAGAAAAACUCUCUUCUAUUAAUUUUAAAUUUUAUUUUGCAGGAUAUAUAGGCGCAUAGACAUUACUUGUUGUGGAGGAUUUUGACAUUAGAAGUUGAUAAUAACACAUAAAAUGCCAAGUUGAACCAGUUGAUAGCUUUUAGUGAAGAUGCACUGAAAAGUUGAGCGUACAUUGUGUGUGAUCGUACUAGAACUGUUGGAAUUUGAAAACUUUUAAACUUUCAUUGUGACAAAUAUCUAUAUCAUAAACUAUCUACUUAUCACAUUGACAUGCUUUUUUGGUUAGGAUACACAUGAUGUAGCAACUAUAUCUUGUCAUGUAGAAGAAAAUAAUUAUUUGUGAUAUAUUUAAGUCGGUUUAAAAACAUUAUGUAUGUGAUUUCACUGACUGUUACUUGUGA